UUAUUAUUUACACUAAUAAUUAGGUUGUGCAAUUCGACCUAUUUUGAAUUUAAAUUUAUAUAUUACUUUUAUAUAUUUAGUUUAUUUUUUAUUUUAUUAGAAAUAUCUUUUUUUUUAGUAAUAUUUCCAGAAAUAAUAAUUUUAAUUAUAGUUUAUUGUACUGUAAAGGAUUUAUUAAUAUUUGAUUAAAAGCAAAUUUUAUUUAUUGUACCUUUUGUAUCAGGGUUUAUUAAAUAAAUAUUAAAAAUUUAAUUUUCCCGAAAUUAAAAGAGAUAUAAUUAUAUGAUUAUUAUUGUUUCAUAAUAAUUAUUAAUUUAUAUAUAGGGGUUAUAUGCUAUUCAUUUUUAAAUAUCUGGUUUCUUAAUAAAUGAAUAUAAUUAAAAUAAACUAAUUCAAACUGAUCAAUUUAUUUAUUCAAUCUUUAUUAAUUUAAAAUUAAAGGGGAUAAGCUCUUUAGUUGUUUUAUAAAUCAUUAAAUUUAAAAUUUAUGUAGGAUUAGAAAUUUUCAUCAUUUAUUUUGUUAUAAUAAAAUUUAAUUAAUAUUUUAUUUAUUUUGGUUUUAAAUAUUUAUUAGGAAUUAUCAUUUAAUCUUUAAAUGAUAGUUAUAAUGAUAAAAUUAGUAUAUUUUGGAAUUAAUAUAUAGUAACUCGGCAAAUUUAUUCUUCACCUGUUUAACAAAAACAUGUCUUGAUGAUUUUUAUUUUUAAGUCUAUCCUGCUCAAUGAUUUAUAUUAAAUAGCCGCAGUAUCUUGACUGUGCGAAGGUAGCAUAAUCAUUUGUCUUUUAAUUAAAGGCUUGUAUGAAUGGUUGGAUGAGGGAAUUACUUUCUUUAUAUUAAAAAUAGAAUUUAAUUUUUAAGUUAAAAAGCUUAAAUUUACUUAUUAGACGAUAAGACC
rnacentral:rRNA from 1 species